GAUGAACGCUAGCGGAAGGCAUAAUACAUGCAAGUCGAACGGAUGUAGCAAUACAUUAGUGGCGCACGGGUGCGUAACGCGUAUGCAACCUACCUUCAUCAGGGGGAUAACUACCCGAAAGGGUGGCUAACACCGCAUAAUACUAUUGAGUGGCAUCACUUGGUAUUUAAAUCUGAGGAGGAUGAAGAUGGGCAUGCGUCUGAUUAGCUAGUUGGUGUGGUAACGGCGCACCAAGGCGACGAUCAGUAGGGGACCUGAGAGGUUGGUCCCCCACACUGGCACUGAGAUACGGGCCAGAAUCCUACGGGAGGCAGCAGUAGGGAAUAUUGGUCAAUGGUGGGAACACUGAACCAGCCAUUCCGCGUGCAGGAAGAAGGGUCUCUGACUUGUAAACUGCUUUAGCAAGGGAAGAAAAAGCUCAUGCGUGAGAAAUUGACGGUACCUUGAGAAUAAGCACCGGCUAACUACGUGCCAGCCGCCGCAGUAAGAC
rnacentral:rRNA from 1 species